GUGGUUAAGCGGUAAAGCACUUGGCUUCCAUACCAGAGGUUCCGGGUUCAAAUCCUGGC
rnacentral:tRNA from 1 species